UGCAUGCAUGGUUUUAUCCUUCUCAAAACCGUUCAUAAAAAUUUACAAAUGCAGUAGAGGAUCGAGGAAUUCAAACCAUAAAUGCAGUUCCCUAUGGAGAGCUGAAAAUGCAGGGGUGAUCUUUGGUUCCAGGAAUAAAUAGUGAAACCAUUCUUCAACGAAAUGCUCACAGAGCUUCUAAACCAAUGAUUAUCCCCUCUUUCCCUAAUAACCAACAUAAGACAUCUAAACCAAAUGAAGAAAUGCUUUUACUAUCUAAACUAUCAACUCUCACUCACAUCACAUACCGAUGCUCAAAUGAAUUAUUACCACAAAGCCUUUCCCUAGCAUUGGUCAGUAGUAACACAAGCACAUUAAUCAUUUCCCUCUCUUUUCAACUUCUGACAUGUCAAAAAGAGAACAUUUCGUAAACAUACGCAGCCCGCACGCAAGCACACAGUCCUACACUACAUAUAUAUGUCCAUGAUUUUCUCAUAUUAGAAUCCUCUGAGAUGAGUGCCAGACUUUGUGCUAGGACCACCAACACAGUGCUAGCUGACCUCCCUCUUCCCUCGUCAUAUCAUCCUUGUAAUCCUGUUUAAGCAUCGAUUGAGCCGCUUGGUUGUUCGCACCAAUCACUGCAGCCUUCCAGCCAGCAUAGUUUCCACUAGGGUCACUCAAGUAAAGUUGAAAACCGAAAUUCUUGUCCCCAACCCGCAAACAAAAAUGAAACACCAAAGGGCCGGAGACCACCAAACUGUGUGUAGCCCUGCUUAGUAUCACAAAGAGAUUGAACAAGCUGCUCAACGGGCAUUGGUUCUUGGUACGCAAACAUAUAGCGCUGAGCCUGGACCCUAGAAGUGUUUAUCAGGAUGUUGGCAUCAGACAUUAUGCCAGCCACAGCACAAGCAACAUGAUCAUAAAUCUUGUGUUGGAUAUUUAUUCAUUAUUGUUAUUUGAUUUAUUUAGUUAAUUUGCUUCUGCUAAUAAUCCCUAUUUACCAGGAAACAUGGUUAGUGUUUGACCUGAUCUUUAGGAGAAUCCCAAUAGUCUAGGGUUGUUAGACGUGAGAUAUUUUGUUGCUUAAUUUUCUGAUUACUUGUUCCCUGUACGACUAUUUAUGCCAGUCUUUGGAGUCAAUGAAUGAUAGAACAUUCACUCAGACUUUCGCACUCUUUAGCUUUCAAAGUUCUAGUUCUUAACAUCUUGUACAUUUUCUCAGUGGAAGUUGUGGAGUGGAGGAGUUUGGAUGUGACUUUCUUCUCACCAACUAAGAUAACCCCAUCUUUUGACAAAAUCCCAAUUGCAGUACCCGCAUUUCCAAUGGCCUCCAUUGCAUACUCAACUUGGUAGAGACGACCCUCAGGGGAAAAGAUGGUUGUACGGCUAUCAUAUCUCCUAGACAUCUUUGAUAAUAACUGUGAACGUUUGUGAAAUAAUGGUAUUAAAUUUUAUCAUUUUUUUCUUCUGAGAUAAUGGUAUUCAAUUUAUAUAAGAUGAAACAAGGGAAACCCAGAAAUCCAAAUAUGAACACAGUUAAAAAUUCCAACAGCUCAAGGUUUUCUACAAUCCAACAAAGCCAAAUAGCAUCAAUUGGGUAGCAUACAUAUGUGAAAUACUGAAAAAUCACAAAUCAGAUGCAAUAAACAUUAAAAUUAAUAAUAAUCACAAGACGCAAAUUAAAAAUGAACUUGGUCGAAAUUGAGACAAUGUAAGCAGCCCCAUCGCACAAACUAAUUGAAAUGACAAUCAUACAAGAAUACGGGCCUUACCCAGUUUCGCUUGCUCUCUCUUGGUUCAGAUGCUUGACAAAGUUUACGCCUUUUGCCGCCUACUCAGCUCUCAGCUCCCUAUUCUAGUAUUCUUCUUCUUCCUCCCCAAGAAAUAACCAAGGCUUUGUUUGCUCUGGCAUCCGGGGCUCCGAGUAGGGGCCUUUGUAGAAAUUGGGUCAAAACUCUGAGGCCGAAAGUAUCGGCCUUUUUUUACACGGGUAGCCCAAACAUUGUUGCUUGCGCAGGUAACCCAAUAAUAUUCAAUUGUCUAGGCUCAACUAUUUCAGUGGACCGGAGUGUUUUUUAGGUCGAAAGUGGACCGGAGUUAAGUCCAGAUAUUUGAGGUAAAUCUUUUAGGGCUCGUUUGGUACGUCGGACUGUACUGACUAAUUUUCGUCGGAUAGUAUUAAUUUAUUUCGGAGAGUACUGACUAUUUAUCCAUAAUAUUAUAAGGCGUUUGGUGCUGUUCCGGAUAAAUAAUUUGACUAAGUUAUACUGUGUUUGGUGAUGUUUCAGAUAACAUCAUAUCAGACUAUUUAUAAAUAAAAAAAAUAUAAAAUUUUUUUUGAUAAUUUUAAUGGAAAUUGAGAUUCAAAUGACACAAAUUUUUUUUGGUAAGAUUCAUAUGACAAUAUUUGUUUUUCAAUUGUUUUUGCCAAGAUUUUUUUUCAUAUAACCCAUUAUCAUAAUUGUAGUAUCUCAUAAAAAUUCCAACAUACUCGCAUACGUUAAUAAAAACAGUAUCAAAUAAUGUAUAAUUCAAAGUGAUCACAUAUUAAGGUAAUAAGAGCAAAAGAGAAAGUUGUUCAUAAACCAAACUACAUCAAAGAGUGAAUCACAACUCCCUCGCCUCAAGUAAGAGAAAAACAAAUGCUUUUCUCAUAGCACCAUCCACUGUCAGGAAUAUUUUUUUUAUCAUUUGCUUUCUCCAAAAUUAGCCGUAGUGCCUUAAUUUGGUCAUUAAUAGACAAGUCCAUCUUUGCUUUUCUAAUAACAAUUGACAAAGAAAAAAAAAUGGUUCUUAGAAUUCAGUUUCAUACAUUUUUAAUUUUAUAAUUUUGCUCUUCUAGUCGUCAGGUAUGUAUGUAUUCAACUAAACUACCAAUACUAGCACAGUUGUUUGUUUUUGGAUGAAAACUGGCAAUACUCUGUUUAAUACCAACAAUCUAAAUAUUCCCACAACGUCGAAUCACUAUAUCACAUACAAAAAAAACAUUCGAUUAAAAAAAGUACCAAAAAAAAAAAAUUCAUAACCUAAUUUCUACUAAAAAUUUGAAAUAUAUAAAGCAUAUUGGAGAGAGUAUGAAAAAAGAGAGAAAGUGAGUGAUGGAUACCUGGAGAAGAGUGAAGAAAAUAACAUGUGGAGAAGAUAGUAGAGAACAACCCUAGGGAGAAGAAGAUGAAAAGAGCAUCUGAUUUUUUUUGUAGAACUCGUGUUCUUUUUCCCUAGCCUUAUAAUUAAGCGUGUAUUAUCUAAACCGGGGUGUGUGGGUUGUAUUAGUUAGUUAGGUAAGGAGAGUAUUAAAAGCCCAACCCGUAUAAAAUAGUCGGGUAAUUAAAUAAUACAAGUUGACACCAAACACCUGACAUAGACUAUUUACUCAUAUCCAGAGUCUAAUACGAUGUACCAAACGAGCCCUUAGCUGUUAUAAAAUAAUCUGGAAUACGUGCGAAUAUUGAGCUGCACGUAAAGUAGAUGAGACACAGUAUUUAGCGAGGUUCGGCUAUGCCUACAUCCCCGGAGAGCAGCAGUAGUAACUUUUCCACUAUGUAAAAUAAUAGGGCUACAACUUUAGAGUUUACAAUAUGUGAGGCUCACUGAAUUUUCUCUCUGCUCACUCACCCUAUUUCUUCCUUCUCUUCCUCCUUUCUCUUUCUUCUCUCUUUCCUUCUUUCCUUUUCUUCUCUCUUUCCUCCUUUCCUUUUCUUCUCCCCGUUUCCUAUCUCUUUCUCUCUUCUUCUUUUCCUCUUCUCUUUCUCUCUUCUUCUUUCUCUAUUUAUAGACAUGUUAAAUGGCACCCGUGUUUCUACAAUACACAUCCGUGAGUGUGCAGCCAAAUACUUUGCUUAAUUUUCUUUGUGGGCCCCAUAAAUGUGGGCUCCACAUGUUUCUUCUUUACAACAUUAGCAAUUUCUUUUGGAGAAAAAAGAGAGGGAAAGCCAAGGAAAGAGAAAUUUUUAAAGAAGUCAAAUGGACAAAUGCCUUGUGAUAUAUAGGUUAAAUUGUAGCUAUGGUUUCUGAAAUAUAGUCCGAGUUGUAUUUUCAUCUUUCAACUUCAAAAAUAGGUGUUUUCCAAUAGGUCUUGCAUUGCAGCGUUUAUCCUUUACGUCAAGUCUGUCUAAUUUACCUCUCAAAAAGUCAACUAAAUUGAUAAUUGUAUACCUCAAAUUGAUGGAAUUUAACGAAAUGACCAAUUUGACAUAUGUGAGAGAGUUGGAGGAUGAGUAAAACUAAAAAAAUUAGUUGAAUGAUCAAAAUGAAACCGGGUAUGACCAUUCGAUNNNNNNNNNNNNNNNNNNNNNNNNNNNNNNNNNNNNNNNNNNNNNNNNNNNNNNNNNNNNNNNNNNNNNNNNNNNNNNNNNNNNNNNNNNNNNNNNNNNNNNNNNNNNNNNNNNNNNNNNNNNNNNNNNNNNNNNNNNNNNNNNNNNNNNNNNNNNNNNNNNNNNNNNNNNNNNNNNNNNNNNNNNNNNNNNNNNNNNNNNNNNNNNNNNNNNNNNNNNNNNNNNNNNNNNNNNNNNNNNNNNNNNNNNNNNNNNNNNNNNNNNNNNNNNNNNNNNNNNNNNNNNNNNNNNNNNNNNNNNNNNNCAAAAAUCUUGAACUCCUUUUAAGAAACUUUUUUGAACCAUUAGAUUAAUAUCUAACGGUGAGUAAUCACAAUCUCUUGGACUCCUGUGGUCCAAGAGAUCAAGACUAUUAAAAAAAGAUAACACGAGCAGUUAUGUUUCAUAAAAGUAGGAUCUAUUAUUUAUUUUAAUUUUUAAUUUUAAUUUAUUUUAAUAUGAAAAAAUAUAAAUUUACUAUAUUAUUCUCAUUUAAUUAAUAAUUUCAAUUCUCAAUUCUUAAUUAUUAUCCUCAUCGAAGUGUUGCCUUGGCUGCUGCUGAAUUGGUUUAUAUAGCUAAAAUGUUUAAAGACAUUGGCUUCUUUCUAGGCACUCCUCCUCUUCUCUGGGUGGACAAUCAACUGCUAUUUCUUUGGCUUCUAAUCGUGUGUUUCAUACCAGGACUAAACACGUGGAGGUUGAUUAUCACUUCACACGAGAAUUGGUGCAAAAUGAUUAAUCAGCUUCCUGACAUUUUUACAAAGUCUCUAUCUUCCUCUCUUUGUGUAUCUUCCAUCCAAGCUUUCAGUUUGUGACACUACCUUCAGCUUGAAGGGGCUGAUAGAUAUAUCUCCACAUCUAAUUCUAGCCUUUCAUUAUAGAGUUGUUAAUUUCUGUUUAGCUUUAUUUUAAUAAAUUGUAAAGCUGUCAUUAAUGUACAUCUAUAUUAUUACAAGUGUAUAUAAACAAUUCAAUGUAAUCAUUAUUGUUUAAUAAAAUGAGAAUACAAUUUUAGUUUUCUCACAAAAUAUUGAAGGAGAAUUAGAAAGUGGAAAAGUCAAGAAGUAGAGGAUUAGUGUCAGGACUUUUAGGCCUGAGGAAACAGUACUGAAGUUGACAAUGAGUAAGAGAUUCUUUGAUAUUAGCAAAACUAACACGACAAACAUGCCAAAUGUUGGGAUUUUGGGUGACUGAUUUUGAAAUUAAAAUGUUGUAGUGGUGACGUUGUCGAAAAUGUUAGGUGAGAGAAGAACAUAUCAUGUAUUCAUUUUCUAGCCAUCUAUAAAUUGUUUUUUUUAAAUAAAAACAUUAACAACAUUACAUGUAAAACUUGACCCCAAAAAUAAAUAAAUAAUUACAUGUAAAACAAUUGAGUGAUGGGGGCCAUUGCAUUAUUCCCCUUUGGAUUUAUGCAUGCAGGAGGAGCUAGUAGGCUUCGCAUUUAUGGGUAGAAUGGACAUUAUUGGACAACCUUAGGUAUGCAUAUAUAGGAAAACGUCCAAAAUCCAUAAAGUUGGGACGUACGUGGUGGUGCAUGCAUGUUGGUAUUUGAUAUUGAUAUUUUAUUCCCACCCAAAAUAUUACAAACGAAUGCAGUCAAAAAAUAACUCAAAACCAGUGCACACUCGCGUCACGUGCUUCUGCAGACACAAACUAGUAAGCAAUUCACAGAGGACAUAGCCACAGAGGGGGAGCAGAUCGAUGCAAAUUAUUAAGUUUUUCUUUAAGCCAAAAAACUCAGCACCGACAUGACUUAAUAAUUAAGAUUACCACAGUAUAUCGAUCUGAUACACUAUCAGAUAAACAAAAAACAAAACAACAAAUUACAGAAAUUGAUCCCUCAAGAAGUAGAUUUCACUUCCAAGCUUUCACAUGCUAUUAAUUAUUAGCUGACACAUAUUAUGCUAAUCAAUUAAACCACAGUGACCACUAAUUGGGAUAUUUAGAACUGUGCUGUGGUGAUGAUCAACUUCAACUAUGCAGGGCACUGGAAUCCAGAGGGUGGAGUUUUCCCACAGUCAAUCAGAACCUGAAGAGCGAUGGGGAUGAUGAUGUUGAUGUUGAGAAGCUUAGCCUUGAUGGUGGUGCAAAGGCAAAUUGCAGCAUCCAAGUCCACCAGCCCUUGAAGCACUGGACAGCAUGCAUCCUUGGCACUGCUGCCAAUUCCAAUGUGAAUGAGGCCACCCAACACAUCCACACAAGCUCCCAACUUGAGAGUGUCGAUGGGACACGUGUUCUUUGGUGGUGAUGGGGUUGGCACUGGUGUUGGUGGUGGUGGAGGAGGACAUGGUGUCUCAGUGGGUGGAGGAGGCUUAACUGGUACAACUGGGGUAGGUGUAGGUGUUGGUGGGCUUGGUGGUACAACAGGUGGUGAUGGUGGUGGCUUAACUGGUACAACUGGGGUAGGUGUUGGUGUUGGUGGGCUUGGUGGUACAACAGGUGGUGAUGGUGGUGGCUUAACUGGUACAACUGGGGGCUUGGGUACAUAGGGUGGUGGGGGUUGUACAACUGGGGGCUUGGGUACAUAUGGUGGUGGUGGUUGUACAACUGGGGGUUUGGGGAUGAAGGGUGGGUGCACAAUUGGGGGUUUAGGGAUAAAAGGUGGGUGCACGAUUGGGGGCUUGGGGAUGAAGGGUGGGUGCACAAUUGGGGGCUUGGGGAUGAAGGGUGGGUGCACAAUUGGGGGUUUAGGGAUGAAGGGUGGGUGCACAAUUGGGGGUUUAGGGAUGAAGGGUGGGUGCACAAUUGGGGGUUUAGGGAUGAAGGGUGGGUGCACAAUUGGGGGCUUGGGGAUGAAGGGUGGGUGCACAAUUGGGGGCUUGGGGUGGGGUGGUGGUUUGACAAUAGGAGGCUUGGGGAUGAAGGGAGGUCUCACAAUAGGUGGUUUGGGGACAGAAGGAGGUUUUGGUAUAUGGGGAGGAUAUACAAUGGGGGGUUUGGGGCCAUGAGGUGGCUUGGGUACAUGGGGUGGAUGAGGAUGAGGUGGCUUUGAUGGUGGCUUGGGAACAUAGGGAGGCUUUACAUGAGGGGGAUGGGGUGGUUUUGAUGGUGGUUUGGGAACAUAGGGAGGCUUUACAUGAGGAGGAAGAGGUGGUUUUGAUGGUGGUUUGGGAACAGAGGGAGGCUUUACAUGAGGGGGAUGAGGUGGGUGUUUAGGUGGUUUAGGGAUGAAGGGUGGCUUUACAUGAGGAGGCUGUUUGGGUGGCAAGUGUGGAGGGUAUGUUGGUGGUGGACAGUAGGAGUUAGCAAGAGAAGUGAGCAAACUACCCAAAUUCACAAUGAGGACUAAGAGCAAAGCCAGGGUAUAAUUCCCCAUGUUCAAAACUCCACAACCCUCAAAAGAGUUGGGUUGUUUAAGACCGGAUAUUGAAACCCAACACCAUGCAAAAGCCUUCUUAUAGAGAUAUGGUGAGACAAGUUGUGAGUGAGUAUGUACAUAAGAGAGAGAGAGAGAGAGAGAGAGAGAGAGAGAGAGAGAGAGAACACAAUCCUGUACCUUUCUUUGUGGUACCAACUAAAGAUAUAUAAAACUAUUAAUCUCUGUGCAUAAUUAAUUAAUUUGUCAAAUUGCCAAGAUGCACAUUGAAUUGAGGUCUCUCCAAACUCCAAACUUCAACUUGAUCAGUAUCAAAUUCACCACAAACAAAAGGGAGGAAUUGAGUCACUUUCUUCCUUUACAUUCAGAACCAAGUAGGGCACUGCAAUCACUGACUUAAACUGUAGACAAAAGUAUUCAGCUUUUAAGGAGAAAAGGAUCAAGAAAACGCGGUUUUGUGAUAGAGGCAAGUUUUAACAUGUAGUGAGAGCCUUGCAAGUGACUAUUCAACCCGUGAUUGAGGUUUUGAUGCCAAGCCACAUGUGAGGCUUUCAUUGACAACAUUUUCUUGCAUUAAAAAAUUCUAAGGGUACAAAAGAGGCCUUAGACUUUUUCUACUUAAAGCACAUGGUUUUUCCUUUUUUCAUUUUUUGGGGGUUUUCUCCCGAAUAGACGAGUCCAUUAAUGCUACAAUGUUUUAGUCUAAGAAAUAUUCCUAUAUGAAUAGACCGUACAAUUGUAUUUGAGUGUCGGUUAUCUUAAUUUAUUAUUUUUUAUAUAAACGAUAUUGUAUUUUAAUUUAAUCCAUACUAUAAAAAGAAUUAUUUAAAUUUAGAUACAAAAUAAAGAACACAUUUGUUCUAACUAACUUAAUUAAUCCUAUGUGUGCAAUUAUUUUUUACAAUUAAACAACUCGAUUUGAUGUAGGAAUUUUCCUUGUACAAUUUAACUUGCUCGCUUUGCAAUUUCAUUUCAAAAAAGUAUAUGCAUGGCCUAGCCAUCAUGUCUUUCAAAUCAACAGCUCAUCAUAGGGCAUCUUUUUAAAAUGAGGGUAAUGCUGGCUUCACAUGCAGCUGCACAAUAAUUUCAAGAAUUAUUAAUCGUACCUAGCAUUGUUAGCAAGACAUUUAGGGCUGUAAUUAUGUGAAAAGUGAUGUUCGCCGAAUCAAUUAUAUAAGGAGAACUUACUGCAAAACAACUCUGUGUGGAACCCAUCUACUUGUUCUUUGUUUUUUUUAGGUCUGAAGUCCAUCUACUUGUUCACUCCACGCCAUUGAAGUGUAGUCUAUCUAAAAUGGUAAGGGUGCCCUAGUUUAGGCGUAAGUACUAUGUGCAGGGUUUUGGGUUUUUCUUUGUAGACAAAAACCUAGAAGUAUCAUAUCUACAUUGUUCUGACUAUUAAAAAAUUAGACAAAGGGGUAAUGAUUAUGCCAAAAUGAAUUUCAACAUCACUUUCGACCGACAAAAUUUCAUUUGCUUAUAUCGAAGCUCGUAUUGAAAUUUAUUAAUUUUAACAAAGUUAGAAUAUGUCAUCUGUCACGUAAUUUGGUGAAUAAAUUUUAUCUUUCGGUGCCUCUACAAUAUUAAAGCAUCAAAUAGUGCAAAUCAUGACAUCUUAUUUCAACGUUCAUUAACAGACCUUCAUACAAUCAAGGCAUCGGAUGCAAGUAGGGUGGUAGAUUUUUUCCCCUUUUCAACCCAAUAAUAUGAGUUAAAACAAUUAUAUGUGGAACACAAUAACACCGCUUUAAUAAUUCUAUCUAAAAGGGUAUAUGCGACAGCUGGCCAAGAGGUAUAUUCCAUGUACACAAAAUGUUACUUUCAACUACAUGCCAAUAUUUCUACAGCGAAAAUUCCAAAUCAACAUGCAAAGGGAAAAUGAAAUGGGAUGUACUUGCUGUAGUGCCUGUUUGGAUAGAAAGAAAGGAAAAGAAAAGAAAAGAAAAUUCAUUUCUUGGAGAAACCAGAAAUUGAGUUUUUCGUCCUUAUUUUCGAAGUGUCGCAAUCAAGUUUUUUUGAUAUAUUGAUGAGUCAUCCAUUGUAGAAGAAAUGGCAUCCAUCAAAACCUGCCACCAUUAAAAUCCAUGCAAAUCCACUUGUUACAAUUAUAUGAAGUCACUUGUGCAAAGCGACAUAUGAAUUUAAAGGGCGAUAAAGCCGAUGUAAUAUAUGUAGGGUCAGGCUGAGACUACUUUGUCUCCAAAUCUUUAACCAAAUCUAAUUUAACACUAAUUAUUAUUGCUCACUACAUCAAGUAAGAAAGAUUAAUAGUAUUUUUCGGUGUGAAUGCAUAAACGUAUCUGUGGAUUCUUAUUAUUUCGAUGUGAGCUUACAGCUUAGCAUAUUAACCUCACUUCAUAUAAAAAUUAUCUCCAAUCCUGAGGUCUAACUUUAUAAAAAAAAAUGAAAAUGACUUUGUAGGUCCAAAUCAAAAUGCAACGUGCCGACAAACACGGACUUAGUCAAGUUGGUUAAAGUGAAUGUGCUAUUCUCACUUUGCAUUCGAUUUCAAAUUCCCCUCCUUAUGAUUUAGAUUAGAUCUAAGUAAAACAUUGCUUAUAUAUAAAAGCAAUAUGCAGCUGUAUGCAGAAGAUUUGGUUGAAUAAUUGCUCUAUAUAAAAUAAUAGGUAAAGUACCUUGAUUAUCUUUUUUCCAACAACCCUGUUCCCUAUAUCUGCCCAUUGUUUAUAUCAUAAUCAAUCAAUUAAUUGAUUAACAACACCAAAUUCUUGAUACCUUCAGCAAAGACACGAUAUUUUCUACCCAAUUUAGUUUGUCGUUUGAAGAAAAAGAAGAAGGAAAAAAAAAACAUUUAGUUUGUCAGAUCAUAUCUUAUAGCAUGAGUGUUAUAUUUAAAACUAUAUAAGAAGGGGCAAAAUUUGGACAUACUUGGAUCAACUGUAACAAUCAUGGCAGUCCCUCCAAAAUCACAAGUGCCACCGGCAGCCCUGGUGCUCUGCCAGUAGCUGUUGAAGGCGUACGAAGCGUGGGACAACAAUGUGUCUGGUUUAUAGCAGGACCCAUUGGGCUGGAUUGACUUGCAGUCUGCACCAGACCCACACGCAUAGUCCAGGGCCUCUUGGACUAUUGGGCCAGGCACGGCUGGCUUGGCCACACACCACACCGCGCCAGACUGUGGUGGCUUUUUUCGUGGAGGGCUUGUGGGCCCUGAUGGUGGAGGGUAAGCUACAGGUGGGGCCAAGGCUGGUGGGCCUGGGAUAGGCUUGGGUGGGGAUGGAGGAUUUUUGGGUGGGCCUGGAAUUGUGGUGGGUGGGCCAGGUGGGUGAGGGGUGGGCCCAUUUGCAGGUGGUGGUUUUGGGAUGGGUGAGCAAGUGGGUGCAGAAGAUGAAGGGGAGGAGGAAGAUGAAGGAGUAUUUGGUUGAGGUGGGUUUUGGGAAAAUGGUGGAUUUGCACAGUAUGGAGGAAGAGGAACAUUUCCAGGCAAGGGAAGUGGUGCCAGUGAAUCAAAGGGUGGGAAAGAGAAGGGAGGACUUACCUCUAGUGGCUUAACAUUUGAGGAAGGCAAUGGUAAAUCUAACUCUAAGUGAUUUAUUGCUUUCAGCUUCUUCUCUAAUUCUGUGUCUUGGGAUUUUAAGAAUUGUGCAAAAAUUCUUGCAUCUGCUCUAAAACAAAGUCACAUAAUAAGUUGUUAAAAUUGUUCAAGUAGUGUGUCUUUGGAAAACCCAAAUAAAUAAAUAAAUUCUUGCUUACCACAUAAAAUGGAGAAAGUUGUGAAUGAAAUGGAGAUGAUGGCCAAUCUCAUGUAAGACAUUGUGGGCUGCAUCUCUUGAAAAGCCAAUGUGAUUAAAGGCAAAAUACCCAGAAGAAGCUGACUGAAAAUUUUGUGCUUAUUUAAUUCAUCCCUCAAGCAAACACUUGGGAUAAGUAUAUAUAGGCAGAUGCUUAGGCAGGCCAGAGAUGUGUGGGAGUGGUAACAAAAGGCGGUGGCCAUAAAGGAAAAUUAUCAACAUAGAGAGACUAAAGGAGAUUCCUGUGUCACAACUUUGUAGCCUAAGACUCAAAAAUAGUGUAAGAUAUACAACAUGCAGAGGACAAAGGUGAGGGAGAGAGAGACUAGAGAGUGUUGGUUUUGGAGAGGUGUACAAGAAACUUUUCUCCCUUUUUGCAUCUUCCUUUGAAUAUAUUCUUGCUUGGCAGUGGAGAAAUAUGAACAGUGGAGUUUUCUGCACUUUUAUUUGCUUGCUUUCCACUCAAAGUGAAACAAACUUCCACUCUGUUAAAGUAUAAGAGAUUUAGCUGAGUUUGUUACUUAAAUUAUGAGCCUUUGGAUCACAGUCCAAAUGGACAGCUAGGAUGUAUUCUUAGGUGUAGUUGAUUUGUGCCAAGUGUAGCUAUCUCAUAGGGUAGUUAAUGAUUGGUUAGAUUUGCUGAUGUAAGAGAGAAUAUUCUUUUCUUUUACUGUUAUAUUGGUAUGCACAGAUUGUGCAUGACUAAGUGUGAGAAUACAAUCUGAUAUUUUCAUCUUCUUCUUCUCCACGUUUUCUCUCUACAUUUUACUAGAGCUCCAUUCACCUAUAAUCCAAAAACAUGGCAGAUCAUAGUCUGCAAAUGCUAACAUGGUAUCACUGAGCCAGGUUUGAUCGUUUAGCUGGGCGUUUGAAUCUGUGAAGGAAGUGAGCUGCGUUUUCUAUCAAAUCUUGCUCUCUGUGAAAUCUGUGUCUAACAUGGCAGGAUCUGGAGGUGGUGAGCUGCGUGCUCCAAUCUUCAAUGGUGAGAACUAUGAAUUCUGGAGCAUAAGGAUGAAAACCAUUUUCAAAUCUCAUGGGAUUUGGGAGCUGGUUGAGAGAGGAAUAGAAGGCUCAGAUUCGAAGGGAGCUGAUGAAUCUGAUACAAAACAAAAGGAAAAAGAGGAAUCAAGUGGUUCUGGGAAGAUGGCUAUAGCUGAGAUCCUGAUGAAGGAUGCUAAGGCCUUGGGGUUGAUUCAAGGAGCAGUAUCUGAGGUGAUCUUCCCCAGGAUUUCUCAUGAAGAAUCAUCUCAUGGAGCCUGGAACAUCCUGAAGCAGGAAUUUCAUGGUGAUAAGCAGGUAAGAAGUGUAAAACUGCAGGGACUUCGUAGAGAAUUUGAAUACACUAGAAUGAGAGAGGAUGAAUCUCUAUCUGCUUAUCUUACAAAGUUGUUUGAUCUAAUAAACCAAAUGAGAGGUUAUGGGGAAGAACUAUCUAGAGAAAGAAUUGUGCAGAAAAUGUUAAUUAGUCUGCUGCCUGGAUAUGAUCCAAUCUGUUCUGUGAUUGAACAUUCAAGGGAUCUAGAUGUAAUUGAGGUUCAAGAGGUGGUAGCCUCAUUGAAGAGCUUUGCUCAAAGGUUGGAAAGACAUCAUGAGAACAAAACUGAGAAGGCCUUUGCUAGUCUGAGUACAGAUACCAAAUCUGCUAAGGCCACUGGAAAUCAGAAUUCCAAGCAGCAGAAGACUUGGAAAGACAAAGGGAAGAAGUGGGAUAAUAAACCUACGGAUGGAACUAAAACUCCUUGCAAACAUUGUGGGAAAUUGCAUUAUGGAGAAUGUAGGUUCAAGGGCAAACCAAAGUGCUAUAACUGUGACAAGCUUGGUCACAUUGCCAAAGACUGCUAUAGCAAGAAACCUGAACAGCAGCAGCAGCUUCAGUUUGCUACUCAGGUUACUUCUUCACCAACCAUGUUCUAUGCUAACAAUGCAACUGAGAAAAGGUCCAUGGAAGAGGUAUGGUACUUGGACAGUGGGUGUAGUAACCACAUGACUGGCAGAGAAGAUGUUUUGAUUGAUAUUGAUAGGAAUGUGACUGCAAAAGUUGCUAUGGGAACAGGACAGUUGGUUGAUGUUAUUGGAAAAGGAAGCCUGAUGGUUCAAACUAAAAUGGGAAGGAAAUAUAUCAAGGAGGUGCUAUUGGUAUCUGGUCUCAAAGAGAACCUACUCAGCGUUGGACAAAUGAUGGAGCAUGGAUAUUUCCUAAUUUUUGGAGAUAAUAAGGCAGAAGUCUAUGAUGAUAGCUCUCUUUCAAAUCUAGUGGCUAGAGUGGAUAUGAAAGGAAAUAGAAGUUUUCCUUUGAAACUUCAAACAGAUUUACAUAUUGCUCUAACUGCAAGCAUUAACCAAUCAACCUUGCUUUGGCAUAGGAGAAUGGGGCACUUAAACUUGCAGAGUUUGAAACUGCUGCAGAAUGAAGACAUGGUGUUUGGUCUGCCAGAAAUCAAAAAUACAAAUGCAGUGUGUGAAGGCUGUACUUUUGGAAAACACUGCAGGAAGGCAUUUCCAAAAGAAGCAACCAGCAGAGCUACAUCUCCACUGGAAUUGGUACACACUGAUGUGUGUGGACCAAUGCAAACUGUUACCAAAGCAGAAAACAGGUAUUUCCUCACCUUUAUAGAUGACUGUACAAGAAUGUGCUGGAUCUAUUUCUUGAGAUGCAAAUCUGAGGUAUUCACAGUGUUUAAGAGGUUUAGAGCCACUGUUGAAUUGCAAAGUGGAUAUAAGGUGAAGAAACUAAGAAGUGAUAGGGGAGGAGAGUACACCUCUAAUGAGUUCAAUAAAUUCUGUGAUGAAAUGGGAAUGGAGAGGCAGCUUACAGUGGCAUACUCACCACAGCAGAAUGGUGUGGCUGAGAGGAAAAACAGAACCAUAGUGGAGAUGGCCAAGUGUAUGAUGAUUGAGAAGGGCAUGCCACUUGAGUUUUGGGCAGAAACUGUUAAUACUGCAGUGUAUAUUCUAAACCGAAGUCCAACUAAAGCUCUGGACAAGAAAACACCAUUUGAAGCCUAUAGUGGGAGAAAGCCAGGACUUAAACACUUAAGAGUGUUUGGAUCUUUGUGCUAUGCACAUGUUCCAAAUCCACAGAGGCAGAAACUGGAUUCAGCAAGCAACAGAUGUGUGUUUCUAGGAUAUGGCAGCUGUGAGAAAGGGUAUAGACUGUAUAACAUUGCCACUGAAAAGGUGAUUAUCUCAAGGGAUGUGGUAUUUAAUGAAGAAGCUAGCUGGGAUUGGAAUGCAAAGCAAGAAUGCAGUGUUUCAGUGCCAUUUACUGAAGUUGUGUCUGAAAAGGAGAAAGGGAGCAAUGACACAGCUGUGAAGCAAGCAGAACAUUCAGUUGAGAAUGAAUUGCUAACAGAAGACAAUGAAGAAAGAUCUGUGGUUGAUACAGGUACUCAAGAUAUUGACCACACUCCAUUGAGAUACAAAAGUCUUACAGAGAUCUAUGAAAGCUGCAACAUCUGCAUCAUUGAACCAGAAUCCUUUGAAGAAGCUGUCAAGGAUGCAGCAUGGCAAAAGGCAAUGGAAGCAGAACUUGAGAUGAUAGAAAAGAAUGAAACUUGGGAUUUGGUAAAAAGACCAUCUGAUAAACCUAUAGUUGGUGUCAAAUGGAUCUUUAAAGUCAAGCUAAAUCUGGAUGGUUCUGUUCAGAAAAACAAAGCAAGGCUAGUAGCUAAAGGCUACACUCAAAAGCCAGGAAUUGAUUUCAAUGAGACAUUUGCACCUGUUGCUCGGCUUGACACAGUUAGAACACUGAUUGCUCUGGCUGCUCAGAAAAGGUGGAAACUGUUUCAGCUUGAUGUAAAGUCAGCCUUCUUAAAUGGAGUGCUACAAGAGGAGGUGUAUGUGGAUCAACCUCCAGGAUUUGUGGUUCAAGGCAAGGAAGACAGAGUUUAUAGACUCAAGAAGGCUCUUUAUGGUCUCAAACAAGCUCCAAGAGCUUGGUAUGAAGAAAUUAAUUCAUACUUUGCUGCUGCAGGAUUUCAGAAAAGUCCUAGUGAGGCUACAUUAUAUGUGAAAGCUGCAGAAAGUGGAAUCCUAAUUGUUUCACUAUAUGUAGAUGAUAUCAUCUACACAGGAAGCUCUAAAGAAUUGGUGAUGAGUUUUAAAACUGAAAUGAUGAAGAGAUAUGAAAUGACAGAUCUGGGAUUGUUGCACCAUUUUCUGGGAUUGGGUGUGAUACAAGCUGAGUCCUACAUCUUCUUGCAUCAGAAGAAAUAUGCAAGAACACUGUUGGACAAGUUUGGUUUAAAGGACUGUAAAGCAGUGUCAACUCCACUUGCUAUGAAUGAGAAGUUAUCCAAGGAGGAUGGAAGUGAACAGGCUGAUGAAAAGCUGUACAGACAGAUUGUUGGAAGCUUACUAUAUCUGACUGCAACAAGGCCAGAUAUCAUGUUUGCUGCAAGUCUCUUAGCAAGAUACAUGCAUGGACCUACUAAGAAACAUAUGGGAACUGCUAAGAGAGUACUUAGAUACAUUCAAGGUACUCUAGACUAUGGCAUUGCAUAUGAGAAAGGAAAAGAGGCAAUGCUGGUUGGAUAUUGUGACAGUGAUUGGUCAGGCUGUGAAGAUGAUAUGAGGAGCACAUCUGGCUAUGCCUUUCACCUUGGAUCAGGUGUUUUCUCUUGGGCAUCUGUUAAGCAGAGCAGUGUAGCUCUAUCCACUGCAGAGGCAGAAUAUGUUAGUGCAGCUGAAGCUACAGCUCAAGCAGUCUGGUUAAGGUUUGUUCUAUCUGAUUUUGGUGAAGAACAAGUUGAGGCUACAACAAUCCUAUGUGACAACACUUCUGCAAUAGCAAUAACAAAGAAUCCUGUGCAUCAUCACAGGACAAGACACAUAAGCAGAAGGUUUCAUUUCAUCCGAGAUGCUUUGCAAAAUGGUGAGAUUGAUCUGCUAUACUGCAAAACUGAUGAGCAGAAUGCAGACAUCUUCACUAAGGCUUUGGCAAGGAAUAGGUUUGAAUAUCUAAGGAGCAAGCUUGGAAUUAUUUCAGCUAAACACUUAGAAGGGAGUGUUAAAGUAUAAGAGAUUUAGCUGAGUUUGUUACUUAAAUUAUGAGCCUUUGGAUCACAGUCCAAAUGGACAGCUAGGAUGUAUUCUUAGGUGUAGUUGAUUUGUGCCAAGUGUAGCUAUCUCAUAGGGUAGUUAAUGAUUGGUUAGAUUUGCUGAUGUAAGAGAGAAUAUUCUUUUCUUUUACUGUUAUAUUGGUAUGCACAGAUUGUGCAUGACUAAGUGUGAGAAUACAAUCUGAUAUUUUCAUCUUCUUCUUCUCCACGUUUUCUCUCUACAUUUUACUAGAGCUCCAUUCACCUAUAAUCCAAAAACAUGGCAGAUCAUAGUCUGCAAAUGCUAACACACUCUCUCUCUCUCUCUCUCUCUCUCUCUCUCUCUCUCUCUCUAUAUCAGGCUCUACAUUUCUCAGGAAGCUAUUAACUUGUUAUUAAAUGGUUCCUUGGGAUUAAUAUUCCAAAAUAGUUUGACAUCCUUUCCAGCCUUAGCAAUCAUAUUUCACACACUAAUGCAUGUUUUUCAGCUUGAUGUGGUAUUAGUUGACUUCAAUAUUACAGAACUCUUGGUUCAUGCUCAUCACUGAACCUGAAACCUAGGAGUUUUUGUUUGGGAAUGUAACCAGGAAGAUCAAAAUAUACCAAACUUGGGAACGAGAGAGGUGCAUAAAACUUUUGCUCAUCAUCAAAGCUAAAUGUGUCAUCGUAGUUUGAGCAUAUUUCUUACUCUCUAUAUAUUUCAUUGCAGACACACAAGACUUUCAGUUUUAACUAAGAACAACUAAAAAGCCCACAUGAACUCCUUUGCUAGAAUUUGCUGAAAAAGAAAUUGUAAUCUUCAUUAAGCAGGCUUACAUAGGUAAAUAAAUUGUGUAGCUCUUAUUCUUGUUAUUAACUGUUAAAUUAAAAUCUCCAUGUCAUCCUGUUUUUUUUUUUUUAACUGUUUGGCAACACCACUUUGCCAUCCAUAAACUAUAACUAUUCUUCUCCCUAAGGGAAUUUUAUUAGGAAAUUACCCAUCUGGUAUGUAAAUCAUGUUUCAGAGUUCACAUUUAAACACAACCUUUAAACUUGGACAAUAAAUUAUAGGACCGUUGCCAACAACCCGACGCCAUCUAUAACAAGUGUGGCUUGAACUGUUCUUGAAUUUAGAAAGCAAAUUUAAGAAGCUCCAUUACUUAGCAUGUAAGUUUUGUUUCCGAGUUCAAUUGGAAAAAAUUAUGCUAUCGUUGGCAACUGUCCCUUGCCAUCUAUAACAAUCCAGGCUUGAACUUUUGUUGAAUUUAGGAAGCAAUUUAAUUAGCUUCACUACUCAAAAUGCAAAGGAUGUUUUUAAAUUUCAAAUUCAAACAUUAGGAAGCAAUUGAAUAAAUUAUGUGGCUGUUGCAACGGUCCCCUGCCAUAUUCGAUAUCUACCAUGUUUAUCAUUUAUGACCUGAAAAGGCAUAACAGGGCAACUAAGCUGACUCUAGUAUAAAUCUGCUCAAUUGUUCAAGUUAUCCAUCAUAUUGUGUUUGCUAAACCACAGCCUUAUUCAGGACAAUAAGAAAUAUGGCUGCAGACCCUUCCCCAAGGAUGCUAAUCACUCAUAAGGGACCCUGUGUCCGCUACAUUGCUUGGACUCCACUCUUGAAUGGUUUCUGGAAGCUCAGCUUCACAGGUCAUUACAAGCACGAAUCGAAGACUACUUCAGUCGGCUGCAUUUCUGAGAGAUCACAAUGCUGUAUUUAAAGCUGCCUUUGCGCAACAUGUAGAAAUGGUCAGCAGCUUUACAAGGGCUCAGUCGACUGCAGUCAGCUGGGCCCUUGAAUUAGCUAAAGGUGAAGGUGUCGAUUACCUUGAAAUCGAAGGAAAUCAUCCGUUUGUGUUUCGGAUGAUGUGGGGCGACAUCACCAGAACUAGCUCUAUGAUCAGGGGCUUGUUAAUAAAUGCAGAUGUGAUUUAAGACAGAUUAGGAGUGUGAGGCUCCGACAUGUCAACAUGUAUGGUAAUUUGGCUGCGAACUUGCUUGCGAGAAUUUCUUUGCAGCCUCAACAAGAGAGGUCAUGGUUUGGUGACCCUCCGGAAGAAAUAAAUGGAAUUCUAGUGAGGGAUGUGAUCGGUCGUUGGAUCGCUUUCUCGGACCUAUGAGUGAGUCAUCAUUUGGAUGACACAGAAGGACUUCGUGGAUUUCUUUCUUCAAGGAAAAAUCUGUUAAGUUGCUUUUCUUUUUGGUUAAGUAGCAGUUUGCACAUCUUUUAUUUUCAGAAAUGAAAUAUUUUGGAUUAGUGAUGAUUGUGAAGCCCUUGAUUUUUCUAAUCUCUUCCUUAAAGAAUUAAGAUGUGUGAACAUGUAACUACUAAGAACAAAAGUCAUCUGCUUAAUCUCACAUUUCAUUUUCAUUUUCUUCCUUUGUAGUUUAAUUGUAUUCCCUGACCUUUCCGGUACUGACCAUGACCCCUAUCUAUCAAAACCAAGUUCAAAUAAGGGAGAAUUUUUAAGGAGAUAUAUUGAUGACCUUGGGUGGAAUUUUUUCUUAGUAAAACUUUUAUGUGGUUUUACUCAAUAAACAAGUUACUCGUUUUACUCGACUUGAAUUUUUGCCUAUUUUGUCUAGAAUCAAUUACGUUUGAUGAUGAAACCAAUUACCAAAUAGUUCUUAAUCUAGUGAUACUUCUCUUCUCAACAAGUUACAAGGAUUCCGAACUCAAUUUAAUCACCUGUAGAAAUUACUUUGUCGCUGACAUGCCCGUGUGCCUUCAAAUGUUGAGGUCCAUUAGAAAGUGACCGUGCCUUUUAUCAAUAACAAACCCACAUGCCCAACUUGACCAACAAAUAAUAUUUUAAUAAAGUAACCGGUGCCUUUUAAGAAUGUAUUGUGGGAUGAAUUAAUGAUCUACCACAAUUAAAUGCAUUUUCAAAUAGCGAAAUAUUACAACAUCGCAGAGAGGUAUUGCAUGAUCUACCACUCUAGUUAUUCUGUUGCUGCAGUGCAGUGCAAUGCAGGUGUACAACUUAUUGUUCAACAGAAAACACAAAAUAACUUAACUUGAACUAAGUCCAUAAUAUAAAAAAGAUGAAGAGGCCAUGGACUGGAAACUCUGGAUCCAGAUGAUGUAGGGAUCAAGGGGUGUAUGGCCUUGGAAUAAGAUACAGAGGAGCUUUCUUAUGGACUGUGAGUCCGAACACUUCGGUCAUGUUCAAUGUGUCAGCCAAUUUAGUACCACCACUAGGCAACUUCCAAUCGAACCAAAACAGUAGGUUGGCAAGCACAUAUUCAGCUGAAGCAACCGCAAAGGCCAGUCCGGGGCACACCCUUCUUCCACCACCAAACGGGAGGAGUUCGAACUCUUGACCUACCAAACCGAUGGAGUUCUGCUCAAACCUCUCUGGCAUAAACUCUUCUGGCUUGUCCCAGACUCUGCGGUCUGUUUGUAUUGCGAAUGCAUUCACAAACACUUGUGUUUUCGCAGGGAUGUCGUAACCUCCCAAUUUUACAUCUGCAGUUGUUUCACGAGGAAGUAAAAGAGGACCUGGAGGAUGAAGCCUUAGAUUUUCGGUGAUUACACAUGACAAGUACUUCAUUUCCUUGAUGUCACUCUCGUCUACAUAUCCCCUUUUCCCCGCCACUCUUCUUACUUCUUCUUGGACUUUCUUCAUCACCCGUGGAUUUUGCGAAAGCUCAGACAUUAACCAUAGCAUUGAUGUCCAACUAGUAUCACUUCCCCCAACAAACAUGUCCUAAAUCAUGAAAUUAAAUAGCCAAAUCAAUCUUCAUCCAUAUAUAUUUUUAUUAGAAAAUUAGACGUAAAACCAAAAGUAUUAGGGUUUAUCAAUGUGCGCGUGUGUGUGGGUAUGCUCGUGCCUGUUCAAGAUAAAGUAAGUGAAUGAGUAUAAUGCGAGUAUGUAAGCUAGAGAGGGGGGGAUAUAGACCUGCAUAAGUCCUUUGACAUUGAACUCAAAAUCGAGCGAGCCAUCCUCUUCAAGGUCGAGGAGUAAAUCCACAAUAUCCUUCUUACGAGGCUUACCAUCUUUCUGCGCUGCUUUAUGUUCGUCAAGCAACUUAUCAUAAAAUCCAUCCAAUUCACGUCGAAUUGAUUUCAAACGUGCAAUGUAGCCUCUGGCAUGGUCAACCCAUUUCAAAGAAGGGUAGAAAUCUCCAAAGCUGAAAGUCAUCAUCUGAACCAUCAACUCCUUUAUGACCUUUUCAAACCAAUUGUCUUCUUUGUCCUCAAACUUCUGUCCAAGAACGCACCUACAGAUGAUGUUGUUGGAGGUUGACACCAGCAGCGGCCCCAGAUUGAUGGGAGCCCCGUUUGUGCUGGCGGAGGCUUUGCGAAUCUUGCUGACCAGCUCUGCACAUUCUUCCACCCUUGCGUACUGAAACUGCUGCACUCUUUUCACGCUCAGAAGCUCAAGAACAACCACUUUUCGAGCUUUUCUCCAGUACUCCCCGUAAGGAGCAAACGCAACGUUAUAGCCGUUGAAGAACAAUAUAGUUGCAGCUGUAGUUUGAGGCCGGCCAGAGAAACCAAUGUCUUGGUUCUUCAUCAUGUCCUUGGCCAGUUCUGCAGAUGAAACUACCAGCGUUGGAAGUUUGCCAAAGUGCAUGAGCAUUAUAUCACCAUACUUCUUCGACAGAUCACGAAGAGAGCGGUGUGGGAAUUUGCCUAGCUGGUGAAGGUUCCCAAUCAGAGGCAGUGUUGGUGGGGAAGGUGGCAGUUCGUAGUUUUUCCCACUUGAAGAUGAUCUUGUAAGUGAUAACAAAAUGUAUGCAGAAAGCAGGAGAAGAGGAAGCAGGAAAAUAUUGCUCUGAAGCUGUUGCCACAUUUCAUUGAAAAGUGAUAAUGCAGCCAUUGUUCUACUUUUUGCCUUUUGCUUUUGGCUGCUCACAUUAAAUUAAUAUAUGUGCCCUUCUUCUUCUUCUUUGUAUAGAGAAGCUGGCAUUGCAACUUGCAUGCGCCUACAAGGUUAGUUGUGAUCAACUUGUGAUGUCCAUGCCCCCCAAUUAUUUAAUGGGAUGCUUCGAUAUGGGUUCAUUUUUGAGUUUGCACUAUGAAUUCAGUUUAUCUUUCUUUUGAUGUAGAAUUGGGUCCAGCUCAGGCCAGCCAAGUAUGCAAAGCCUUGGCCAUUGUACAGUCAAUCCUCUGAAUUUUAUUAAUUACUGCAAUCAAUAAAUUAAUAUCACAUCUCUACGAUUAAUCUCAAUUUAUUAAAUGCUUUCAAUCUUUGAAUACCUUAUGAUGAGGUAUAUAUGUCUUUGGGUGGUUUGAUUUACCUGCUUUGCAGGUUUGUGUAUACCUCUUUCAUAGGUAAUUUCAUAUCAUAUAUCUCCUCCAUAGGUAAUUAAUAUAUACUUCCUCCAUAGAUAAAUAGCAUUCAGAUGUAUACCUCCUCCAUAGGUAAUUUACCUAUCCAUACCUAAUUAACAUUCAUGUAUAUUCCUAGUCCAUAGAUAAUUAUACCUCCUCCAUAGGACUACAAGAAGAAAAAGAAGGAAGAAGAAAGAUUGUGGGAAAUUUAGUUAUUUAUUUAUUGUAUCAGGGCAUGUUUAUGGGAUUUUCAAAAUUAAAAUGGAUGGACAAGAAAAUAUUUUAUAAAUUCAAAUCAUAAUUAACUAAAAGGUCAAAUAUAGUAAUUAUUGGCCUAAGAUUAAUUUCUCACUCUUUUAUGAAUUGCAAUCAGAAUCAAUAGUUGUAUUAAUUAGCUAAUUAUUAUGAUAUAAAUCAAUCUUCCCAAUUUAAAUCAUAAGGCAUAAUUGGAACAUGAAAAUAAAUGUAAAAAUAAAAAAUAUAUAUGAUUACAUCAUAAAAUUAGAAAAGGAAUGUAAUCCUAUGUGGCAUUAGAAGAGGACUUGGAUUACUAAUAAUACGUGUGUGGAUUGCACCCAAAUUCUACCGGAGAAAUUAUAGAAUGAUAUGGUAGUACCAUGUCAGCGUAUAGUACUCCCAUUUAAAUACAGCCACAUGUCCAUUUUAGAAAAGAAAUUAAUUACGUUUCACAACUGGACUUUUUAGUUUAAUUCUUAACUUUGGAAAUAAAAUUAGAAAAGAAAAAUUAAAAAAAGAAUUUCCUAACAGCCAACUAUCUCCUAACCCAACAACAACCCUAAUCCCAACUACCUGCUAUGAUGGCCACCCCUCUCCUUCCACUAUCUUCACCCCUGAUACUAAUUGUAGACAAGGGAUUUUAGAGGAAGGAGGAUUAAACUGGUAUUGAUGAUGAUGAAAUGGAGUAGUCUUGAUAAUUAAAAAUUGGUUCGUUCUUGAGGGUCUAUAUCUGGGUCUGAAAAUAUUCCAAGGUGGCAGUGGGUUGAAUUAACAUUGUGUAGAGUGUCAUAAGCGAAUUCAAAAAAAAUAUAUAUAUAUAUAUAUAUAUAUAGGGGAAUUAAGGAAGAUGAUGAUAUUAUUGGGUUUGGAUGUUGAUGGUUUUCAUGAGGAGCGGCGAUGGCAGUGGUGAAUAGAAAGAGAGAGGGGAGGAAGAGGAAGAGAGAAGGGUGGCUGCCAUGGUUUUUCUUCGUUUAAGUUUUCUCUUUUUCUAAUUUUAUUUCAAAACUUAAGAAUUAAUAAAGUAAAAAGUCUAGCUGUAAAAUAAUAAUGAAUUUCUUUUAUAAAAUGGACACAUGGCCGUAUUUGAGUGGGAGUACUAUACGCUAAUGUGGUAGUACCAUAUUAUUCUAUAAUUUCUCUAUUAUUAAGAAUUGGACUUAUACCAAAUUAUUUAUUAUUUAAUUAUAUACAAUAUUGAGAGAACUUGUUAGGUUCGUAACUUCACGGCCCUCCUGAAAUGAAUGUUGGGAAAUUACAUAAUGCAUUAAUUGAGCCGUUUUUACCAAAAUAAGGUGUCUUCCAAUUUUAGGUUUUAGCCUAGUUUCUUGUAUAGUUUUGUCUUUUUUAUUUUUAUUUAGUUACGUGCUUCAAUUAUUUUAUUUUUUUAUUUAUAUAAAUGAUAUUGAGGGAGGGUUUUUUCACACAUUGUAAUAUAUUAUGAGAAUUCGAACCUGAGACCAUUGAUUUGCAAGUUAAUGUCAUUUUCCACUGGGUUAGAUCUCCCUAAACCCUAUAAUAAUAAUACUCAAUUUGCCAGCUCCUAUUUAUCAUGUUUUAAUCAAGAUGAUGCUUAUCCGUCGGCUUAUGUGCUUCAUAUCUUGAUUGCACAAAGGGACUUUUUUAUUAUACGAAAUAAGAUAAUUUUUUGUUUUAAAAGUCUUGCUAUUUUUUCUCGUACCUUUCUUUGUGGUACCAACUAAAGAUAUAUAAAACUAUUAAUCUCUGUGCAUAAUUAAUUAAUUUGUCAAAUUGUCAAGAUGCACAUUGAAUUGAGGUCUCUCCAAACUCCAACUUGAUCAGUGUCAAAUUCACCACAAUCAAAAGGGAGGAAUUGAGUCACUUUCUUCCUUUACAUUCAGAACCAAGUAGGGCACUGCAAUCACUGACUUAAUCUGUAGCCAAAAGUAUUCAGCUUUUAAGGAGAAAAGGAUCAAGAAAAUGCGAUUUUGUGAUAGAGGCAAGUUUUAACAUGGAUUGAGAUGCCAAACCACAUGUGAGGCUUUCACCAACAACAUUUUCUUGCAUUAAAAGAAUCUCUAUGGGGACAAAAGAGGCCUUAAGACUUUUUCUACUUAAAGCAUAUGGUUUUUCCAUAUGAAUAGACUAAGAACCAUUCCUAUAUGAAUAGACUCGUACAAUUGUAUUUGAGUGUCAGCUAUUUUAAUAUAUUAUUUUUUAUACAAGUGAUAUUCUACUUUAAUUUAAUCUAUAUUAUAAGAAGAGUGAUUUGAACUCAGAUGCAGAAUAAAAAGCAUAUUUUUUUUUUUUGCGAAAGAAGAGCAUAUUCAUUUUAGUCAACUUAACAAAGCCCAUAUGUGCAAUUAUUUUUCACAAUUAAACAACUCAAUUUGAGGUAGGAAUUUUCCUUAUACAAUUAAAUUGCUUGCUUUGCUGCAUGCAAUUUCAUUUCCAAAAAGUAUAUGCAUGGCCUAGCCAUUAUGUCUUUCAAAUCAACUGCUCAUCAUGGGGCAUCUUUUCAAGAAAUUAUUAAUCGUACCUAGCAUUGUCAGCAAGACGUUAGGGCUGUAAUUAUGUGAAGAGCGAUGUUUGCCAAAUCAAUUAUAUAGGGAGGACCUACUGCAAAACUACUUGUUCUUUGUUUUUUUAGGUCUGAAGUCCAUCUACUUGUUCAGUCCACGCCAAUGAAGUGUAGUCUAUCCAAAAUAGGAAGGGUGCUCCAGUUUAGACGCAAGUACUAUUUGUUUUUUUUUGGUCGAAAGGCGUAAGUACCAUGUGCAGGGUUUUGGGUUUUUCUUUGUAGACAAAAACAUUGAAGUAUCUAAAACAUAAUUGUUCUGACUAUUGAAAAAUUAGACAAAGGGGAAAUGAUUCUUAUGCCAAAAUGAAUUUCAACAUCACUUUCUACUGACAAAAUUUCAUUUGCUUGUAUCGAAGCUUUCAUUGAAAUUUAUUAAUUUUAACGAAAUUAGAAUAUGUCAUUUGUCACGUCAUUUGGUGAAUAAAAUUUAAAAAAAAUGUAGUAAGAUGCCAAGCCACAUAUAGGGAUGGCAACGGGUCGGGUAGGGGUUGGGUAUGACGAUACCAUCCCCGUUCUCGCUCUCCAUCCUCGCCCCUAUCCUUGAACCCAUUCCCGUUUAAUCGGUUUCGACGAAUCCCCAUCUCCGUCCUCAUCGGGGGACUAUCCCUCCUACCCGCCCCGAAUCCCUGAUUUUUUUUGCAUAAAAAAAAUAUUUAUCAUACAUUUUUACAUUAAAUUUUAUAUUAAAUUAUCAUUCAACACAUCCAAAUUAACUAUAAAGUUCAACUAAAAAUCACAUCAAUAUGAAAUUCCAAAGAAAAUUAGGAAGAAUUAUGGGAGGGAGGUUAACUUAGGGUUAAACAUAAAUAUUGUAAUUAUAUAUUUAUUUAUUUAAAUAUAAACAUAUAUAUUUUCGGUUCGGGUUCGGAGAUGGGGACGCCAAUACCAUCCCCUCCCCAUAUUCGUCGGGGAUUUUUCAAGUUCGGGGAUCUCCAUACCCGAUACUCGUUUGGUCUCGAAAUCUCCUCUCUUUUGGGUCGAUGAUAGGGAUGGCAACGGGUCGGGUAGGGGCUGGGUGUGAUAAUACCAUCUUCGUCCCCGCUCUUCAUCCCUGCCCCCGUCCUCGAAUUCAUCCCCGUGUAAUAGGUUUUGGGGAAUCCCUAUCCCCGUUCCAGUCGGGGGACUAUCCCCCAUACUCGCCCCAAAUCCCCAGAUUUUUUUUUUGCAUAAAAAAUAUUUAUCAUAUAUUUUAAUAUUAAAUUUCAUAUUAAAUUAUUAUUUAACACAUCCAAAUUAACUAUAAAGUUCAACUCAAUCAUUCAAAAUCACAUUAAUAUGAAAUCCCAAAGAAGAUUAGGAAGAAUUAGGAGAGGGAGGUUAACUUAGAGUUAAAUAUAAAUAUUAUAAUUAUAUAUUUAUUUAUUUAAAUAUAAACAUAUAUAUUUUCGGGUCGGGUUUGGAAAUGGAGACGCCAAUACCAUCCUCUUUCCAUACCCAUCGAGAAUUUUUCAAGUUCAGGGAUCCUGUACCCGAUACCCAUUUGGCCUCAAAAUCUCCCCCCAUUAGAAUUCGGGACCCACCCUGGCGGGGAUUUUUGCCAUCCCUAGCCACAUGUGAGGCUUUCACUAACAACGUUUUCUUGCAUUAAAAGAUUCUCUAUGGGGACAAAAGAAGCCUUAGACUUUUUCUACUUAAAGCAUAUGGUUUUUCCAUAUGAAUAGACUAAGAACCGUUCCUGUAUAAAUAGACUCGUGCAAUUGUAUUUGAGUGUCGGUUAUCUUAAUUUAUUAGUUUUUAUACAAGUGAUAUUCUACUUUAAUUUAAUCUAUAUCAUAAAAAAAGGGAUUUAAACUUGAAUGCAGAAUGGGAAGUACAUUCAUUUUAGCAAAUUUAACAAAGCUCAUAUGUGCAAUUAUUUUUUACAAUUAAACUACUCAAUUUGAUGUAGGAAUUUUCCUUAUACAAUUAAAUGCUUGCUUUGCUGCAUGCAAUUUCAUUUCAAAAAAGUAUAUGCACGGCGCAGCCAUCAUGUCUUUCAAAUCAACUUCUCACCAUAGGGCAUCUUUUCAAGAAAUUAUUAAUCGUACCUAGCAUUGUUAGCAAGACAUUAGGGCUGUAAUUAUGUGGAAAGUGAUGUUUGCCAAAUCAAUUAUAUAGGGAGGACCUACUGCAAAACGACUCUGUGUGAAACCCAUCUACUUGUUCUUUGCUUUUUUUUAGGUCUGAAGUCCAUCUACUUGUUCAGUCCACGCCAUUGUAGUCUAUCUAAAAUGGGAAGGGUGCCCCAGUUUAGGCGUAAGUACUUUUUGUUUUUUUUCGGUUGAAAGGCGUAAGUACUAUGUGCGGCGUUUUGGGUUUUUCUUUGUAGACAAAAAUAUUGAAGUAUCUAAAUCAUAAUUGUUUUGACUACUGAAAAAUGAAAAAUGCUAGCAACCUUCUUUCUAACAUUUUCUUUUGGACAUUUUCUUUUCUUUGCUUGACAUGUGUCAUUCUCCUUACACUUAAAACAAUGUCAUUAAUAUAUUAUACAAGCUAACUUUUGCUUUUCAAGUUUACCCUUAUUAAAUGUAUUUAAUUUAUUCAAAAAAAAUUCAGAACUUUCUUACAAUAUCUUAACAUUGAAGUAUCUAAAUCAUAAUUGUUUUGACUAUUGAAAAAUUAGACAAAGGGAAAAUGAUUCUUAUGCCAAAAUGAAUUUCAACAUCACUUUCGAUCGACAAAAUUUCAUUUGCUUAUAUCGAAGUUGGCAUUGAAAUUUAUUAAUUUUAAAAAAAUUAGAAUAUAUCAUCUGUCACGUCAUUUAGUGAAUAAAAUUUUUUAAAAAUCUUUCGGUGCCUCUAUAUUAUUAAGGCAUCAAAUAGUGCAAAUCAUGACAUCUUAUUUCAAUGUUCAUUAACAGACCUUCAUACAAUCAAGGCAUCGGAUGCAAGUAGGGUGGUCCCUUUCUCAACCCAAUAAUAUGAGUUCAAACAUUAUAUGUGGAACACAAUAACACUCCUUUUAAUCAUUCAAUCUAAAAGGGUAUAUGCGACAGCUGGCCAAGAGGUAUAUUCCAUGUACACAAAAUGUUACUUUCAAUUUCAACUACAUGCCAAUAUUUCUACAGCGAAAAUUCCAAUUAAACAUGCAAAAGGAAAAUGAAAUGUGAUGUGAUGUACUACCUAGGGCUCGUCAAUGAGCCGGGCUGGGUUAGCCAGGCCCAAAUUUAAUGGACUUGAGUCAGACCGGAAUUUUUUAGAAAAUUCAAAACCCAAGUCCGACCCAUGAACCGGACUUGAGAAAGUCCAUCGAACCAAGCCAAGCUAAGCCCAACAGGCAGGGCCUAAACAGGCCCUACUUCAUUAAAAAAAAUCGUAAACUUAAUCAUAAGGACAUUUUAGUCCAAAUUUGAGAUUAAACUCACUUAAUUCCAAUAUUUUCACAUCAAAUCAAAUUCAUAAAACACCCAAUAAAGUCAUACAACUUAUAAGAUUUUCCACAAAAAUAAUAAAACCAAGUAUUAUUUUUGAUGUUAUUACAUAAUUAGAUCGUAAUACGUUUUAAGAAAUAAUUUUAAAAAAUAAUAAGUAUCAAAAAAAUAUUUUUUUAAAGGAUGGUAUGAAUAAAUAUGCAAAUAUUUGGUGAUGUGUUCAAGAAAAGCAUGAUUAUAUUUGGUGGUACGAUUAUGUUUCGUGAUAUGAUUAUAUUUGGUGAUGUGAUAUGUUGUUCAUCUUAUUUAUAUAUAUAUAAUUGUUGAAUUAAUAAUUGACACAAAUUAAUGUGCUAAUCAUCCAAUUAUAAACUAGGAAUAAGUAAAUAAAAGUAAAUAAAAUGAAACAAAUUAUAUAUGUGAUUUAAGUGAUAUAAUCAUAAACCUAAACUCUUAAUUAUAUAUAAUUAUAUAUGUAUGCGGGCCUAACGGAUCGGGUUUUUGUGGGCGGGCCGGGUCGGGCUUUCUUGGGCUUAAUUGGACCGGGCCUAUGAGUCGGGCCGAGCUUUAGACACCCAAGCCCAAGCCUAGCCCGGCCUAAGGCGGGCCGGGCCAUCUCAAAGCUCAUAACGGGCCAGGCCGGGCUUUUUUUCGAUGGGCCGGGUGAGCCCCCAUCAGCCCAUGAGCCUGCGGGCCAAAUGAUGAGGCCUAGUACUACCUGUAGUGUCUAUUUGGAUAGAAAGAAGAAUAGAAAAUUCGGUAUAAGUCCAAUUCCUAUGAUAGAAUUUGGGUACAAUCCACAUAUUUGUUGUUAGUAAUUUAAGUCCUCUGACUUUUGUGCAAUGUAGGAUUACUUACCUCUUUUUUUUUUCAUUUCUAAGGUUUAUAUUUUAUUUUCUUAAUUUUUUAAUUUAUGUUGUGCUUCCAAUUUUGCCCCUAAGAUAGAAAUCAAGUAACCUAAAACAGUAAAAUAUCAAAAAUCGCGUUAAACAAUCCUCAUACGACAAGAAUAGAAAGAAUCGCAAAAAUCGUAUCUUUCACAAUCAAUUAUGGUCCUGUCAAGCCGUUUCUGUAAAUUUCAUGCUUCUUAAUUGCCGAGGGUUUUGGGUUUCAUUUUAGAGUUGAAUUUGCAUUUCGUCUUCUUCAAUUGCAGCCGGGGGAAUUUGCCGUCAUUUGGGGAUUCUCACCUUGCUUCUCCAUCAAUUGCAGUGCCUGUGUUCCAGGUACACUAUUAGAGGUUACCUAUGCCAUAGGUACACUGUUAGAGGUUGCCUUUAGCUGUGGAAUUAUGCUGCUAGAGAUGCAAUUAGCAAGGCUAAAACCAUGGAAAUAUGACUUCUAUGUACUAGCCAUAGCUGUUUGACUCGGCUAACCCAUUGCUUAUUCAUAUCAGCACGAUUAUUUAGAUAUCUAUGUCCAGUUCCCUUUUUAUACAUAUGACUUAUGUAAUGAGAAGUCUGCUAUUUGUAUUGUAGAUUAAUCUUAACUAAAAGCAUCUAAAAACCCAGCUGGAACAGCAGAAGUUCGCUCCUAACUAUUUCAUUUGGUGAUACAGUGUUUGAUGCAUGGUAUGUUAUAGGUUAUUUAUCAAAUUCAUAAAACUUUCUAAAUGUAGAAGCUUUAGAGGUGAUCGUGAUUGCGUGAAUUCAUUUGCUGUUUUUGGCUAGAGUUAUGAUUUGUACUAGCCCAAAUGUUUUGUGUGCAAAUGUCAUGAUCUGUACAUAUAUAUUGCAUUUAAUUUUUCCUCUCUCCCUCCUUCAUGUUAAUGACUUAAGAUUAUACUUGUGAGUUUUACAGUCAUGUUCUUGUUUUGUCCAAGCAGUUAUGUAAAUCUUCAUUUGUGCCUUCAUUAUUGUAGGGCCUUUUUCGUUCCGGCAACUACUGAUGGGUCUAGGAUGCUGUAAAGAGCCAAAUGUGUGAAAUUGUCCAGAGUCUAAGUUUAAGAAUCAGACCGUAAGAGUGCUUCGAAAAGGUAGCUGAGCCUUAGGAAACACCUUGGUCUUCUUCACCAAUGAAACCAACAGUUGCUUACAGAUAAAUUCUUGGCUUAGCUUGAGAAGCUUGUGGCAUGAAAGCUAAACAUUCAUGAAUUUAGCAUGAGAGAGAGAAAGUGUAACAUCUAGAAAAAAAAAAAAAAAAAGAAGAAGAAGAAACCUGUAAGCCAAACAUUCAUUAUUCCAUUCAUUCUUCCCCCUCUUCCCUUAGAUUCUCUUCAAAAAUCUGAUUUUGGGAUGAGUUGUUCAUCUAUUUGGGGUGAGUCACCUAGUCUAGGUUAAGGAUAUUAAUUUCUUAAACAAAGAUAAGAUUGGGGAUGAAGGGGAUGAAGGAAAUGAAAUUUGGGUGAGGCAGAGAAUGGAGAAUAGGGGGAAGAGAAGAAAAAAUUCUCUAAGGUGAGUCAAUUUAGAAUUUGUGAUUUUUAACUUUGUGUUUGUGUGUUUCUAGUGCCUUAAAGAGUAUUUUGAGUCAUUUGAGUGAUGGGGAAAUUGAAUUGGAAGAGUUUGAAUUUCUAUUUUUGGGUAGGGUGCGUAGAGUAAUUUUUCAAGUGUGGGUGUUUAUGAUUUCGGUUUCAUUUUGAGUUUUUUUAUGAGUUUUAAUGAUAGGUAUGAACUUUAGAAGAGUUUUAGAAGCUAUAGGAACAACUUGGAAGUGAUAGAAUGGUUAAAAACAACUUAGAACCAAAUCUGAAAAUUUGGAUUUUCUGGAAAUUUGCAGUCCUCGAGCCUUAUUUUGGCUCUAUUUUUCUCCCAAUCCUUUGAGUGUUUGAGGAAGACAUUUGUUGGGUUUUAAACUAGACUUGGCAAGGAACAAAACACAAUCGGUUUUGUGGAAUUUGGUUGAGUUUUUAUAGGUCAAACACAUGUGCAUAGUUUGGAAAACAAAUCUGUUUUCUGCAAAAAAAACAGCCACGAGUCCAACUUUGGAGCUAGUUUUCUCAUUCGUUUUAUCUCCUUUUGAGUAUGGUUUGUUGGGUUAGAAACUAGAGGAAAUAAGCUUCAAAACCACUACAAGUUUGCCCAAUUUUGUUAACGUUUGGCUGGUCAAAAUGUCUCACAAAGUCUGAAUUUUUAAUCUGGAAAAACGGGAAGUUGCAGAUUUUUAGGGAAGAUGAUGAACAGUAACCGAAAACAAGCCCACUCGCCACUAGCGGACCUAGUAAGGCGUAAGGAGGUGCAGAUGCACCUUCCCUCGCCGUAAAACCAUUGUAUGUGCUUUGCCCCUUUGCUCAACUGGUGUACAGAUUACCUUAUUUUCAUUUUCAACAUUUAAGUAAAUGUCUUUGUCCUUUUACUUUUAUAUAUUUUUAUAUUACUCAAUUUACUUAAGUUUACAAUGUAAAUAAGGAAGUACUCCCCAUUUGAAUUCAAAUAAAAAUACUAGAAAAUCAAAUUCCCACCAAAUCAAAAUAUGAAAAUUCGAUUUUAGUGCAAAAUAUGAUUUAGGCUAAAAAUGAUAGCCUAAAUCAAGUUUUCUAUUUGAUGUGUAAGGAAUAAAAGCCACCAAAAAUUAUCUUGAGAAAAUGAUUAUUCCGAAAAACCAUUUUUCAUACGUACUCAAUAUUACACCUCCGCUAAAAAAUUUCUGGGUCCGCCAGCGCCACUCGCGGCUCCAGUGAGUGGCGGCACGUGGUGGCUGUUUCGGCAGCCUCCGACGCCAUAUUUUUAGUCCAUUCGACUCGAUUUCUCAAUUUGCGUUCAAUGGUAUAUGUUUUGAGUCAAUCCAUGGUGGUGCAAAGUAUGGAUUGUUGUGGGGCCCACGAGACCCAAACUAGUAACUUUUGGAUAACGGGUGUAGUUGGCCUUUUUUCGGUAUUGACAGGGCAUAGGACAGAGUUUUAGAUUAUUUUGGACGAGAUUUGGCCUCUUUGGACCCCGGGUUGGUCCUAAGGGCAUUUUCGUCAUUUUCACGCAAAAUCUUUGAAAUGCAUAAAGUUGAGGUUGGACUUAGGUGAAAUAAAGUGAAGAUUACUCAAUAAUAAUUUGGAUUUGAAUUUGUUCAGGAAUUAGAUCAAAAGUGUAGAUUCGACAAUUCCGAGAAUCUCCGAAGGGUAAAUUUGGUACUUUAGCUAGUUGGACAUGAGGUAGGGUUUCCUGAUUCCCGAUGAUUGGGCUAUAUCCCUUUUAAUCUUGGUGCUUAUAUAUAAUACUAUAAAUAUGAAUAUUAUUGUUGCUUUACUCGGUGAAUAUUAUUUGAUGUUAUGUGAAUAUUAUUAUUGAUGUUCCUCCAUGGAUAUUAUUUUUUAUGUUGGAUGAAUAUAAUUAUUCAUGUGAUUAAGCCUAAUAUAUAUUAUUGUUAUUAUUUGUGUUAUUAUUCUGCAGAGAUAAAUGAGGUUUGCACUGCAUUACAUAUGCAUCAUAAAGAUAGUGGUGUUUGGGGGUGUGUGUGUGUCGUUUGAGGUAUAUCUAAGGGGUGGGAGAAGGCCUUAAAUAUAUCUGAGUAAUAAAAAUGUGAAAUAAAUUCAAGUGAUGGGAGUAGGACUUGAAUAUUGAGGUGAUGGGAGCAGGGCCUCUAAUGAAAAGUGAAAGUUGAGAAAUUCGUAAACAAAAGAAAACUGGGUUAAGGGAUGGAUGGGCGCUAGUUCAUAUUUUAAGGGUAUUCGGAGCCACAAUGGUAACAUGCAUGGUAUGGGACAUGCAGGCUUGUUGCCCUAAGGUAUGAAUUAGUAGGAUUAGAAGGGAGUGAGUUCAUGGCAUCACUGCAUAUGCAAAUUUAUUUAUCUAGUAUGGUUGUAUAAUUUCUGUAUCUUGUGUUGUUUGUUGUAUGACACUUUGAUUAACUAUGAUAGUUGACCUUGAGGGGUUUGACAGUACUCUAUUGGGUAUUAGAAUGCUCAUACCCUAAUAGAUUGUGCAGGAUUCAAGGUGAAGUUUGAGGAAACGGGUUUCAACCAAGCUACUAAACUUUUGUUGUUGAUUUGUGUAAUUAAUAAUUGUAAGUAGUCAACCAUUUGAUAAAGAUCUUAGUGUGUAUUUAACUACGAGCUACUGCGACUCUGAUUCUGUGUUAAGUAAAUUUGUAUUCAUUUGUGGCUCUUUUUCUCAUUAUAUCAUGAUUGUAGGAUUUUAUUCUUAUGACUAUGGUAUGACUCACACCCUGAUUCGGGAAUAUUCCUUAUUUUCGAAUCGGGUCGUGACAGAAAGACCAGGUUUUCUACGAGAAACAGAGGUUAAAGCAAAGGAUUUCGUGAGAAUUUGCUUAGGAGAACUGCAAAUUCUACUAAUCUCCACAGUAAGGCUAUUAUUAACAUUUGGAGAGUAGAAAAUUUGAGACUUCUCAAAACUUAUAACCUGGCUAGAAGCUAGGCAAAAUCUAUCAAGACAUCUGAUUGGGGGUGGUGAAAAUUCACCUAACCCGAGCACCUUUCGAAAAAACAAGCUCCGAGCAUGAAGAAUGGCAGCCGGGCUUAAGGAGUUGCAGCCAGGCUUGAGUAGCGACCGGCCUGAAGAAGUAUCACGGCCGACCUUGGAGAAGUUUGGCGGUCGGGUCUUGGAGUUUUCGAGAAGAACGGUCGGGCGUGAAGUUUGGCCACCGGGAAAGAAGUUUGGCAGCCGAGUCUCCAAGAGCUUGGCUGCCGAGUUUGCAUCAGCUGGAAGUUGGAGUGGCAGCCGGGCUUGGAGCAGCUAGAAUCUAGAAGAGCUGCAGCCGGGCUUCUAGUGGCCGAGGCCAUUGGAGCUAGAGUGGCCGGAACCCAGAGCUGGUGCUGGGCUGAAGAAAUCCGGAUUGUACUCAAUGCAAUCGGUUUGUGGCUUUGAGGAGCUGUAACAUUACAGCUGGAAAAGUAUGGUUAGAGAGAUUUUAGUUGGAGUACUCUUUAGUUUAUAUAUAUAUAUAUAUAUAUAAUAAAAGUGAGUGGCCAUUUAAUAGGGUUGGAGGUUUGAAAGUAAUUUGGGCCUUUAGAACUCAAGAGCUCAAAUCUCAUGAGGGUCAGCCCCAUAUAAUUCCAUGGAGCCCAGAGGUCCAAGCCUAAGCCACGGAAUCACGCCCAAGAUUUCCAGACGUCAGUGUGCACGUGACGGAAGGCCUCACAAAGAAAGAAAUCAAAGAGGUUGAUGACAAUUCAAAAUUUUCUAAAACGAGAGAAAAUCAAGCAACCAUAAUAUCUCUGCCAACGUGAUUCAUAGCUAGAAAGGAAAGAAUUUUAAAAGAGUUGAAAUUUGGCCAUUCAAUGGCUAGCUCAUGCCAAUGGGCACCCUAUAUAAACCUCACCAAACGAAGGUAGAAGACACACAUCAUUAGACACAUAAAUCUAUUUUUCGUCUCACACUUUUCUUUUCCUAGAUUUAGGGUUUUACUUUUCAAGCGCCUAGUGUAGCGAGUUCUUCCUUUUUUCUAGUGUAAGUUUAAAUUCUUGUUCAAUUUACAUUCCUUGUCUUUUAAAUUCUAGUUUGUUUCAAUUGCUUUACUUUUCAUUGUUAUCGCACUUUCAUUAAGUUUAAUUUCAAGUUUAAUUUAGUUUGUCGUUCUUAUUGUUCUUAUUUCUUUCUUGUUUAUUUAUCACCUUGAUAUAUUUUAUCAUACUUUAAUUCUCGUCUUUACAUUAUUUAUUUUACGCACUUUACUUUACUCAUUUAUCUUUAAAUUAUAUUUAAAUUUAAGCAGCUUUACUUUAUGCACUUGUUCUUCGUUUCAUUACGUUGACCUUCAAUCUUCAUCUUCACACACUCCACGUCCUUUGGUUGCUCACAUAAAGGCUUGACCCCGAAGUAGUGAAAGAACUUAUGCCAUGAGGAGGUUCUUUGCUCGGCCGAACAAUCGUUUGAUUAAAGUCAGAUCUCGGACACAACAUGCACUCACAUUCCAUUCAAGCCAAAUUCGUGGCUUGGUGGUAGCACGCCCUGCACUCAAAAAAGAAGAAGGACCAAAAGUUCCUUCCAUCGGCCGCCUUGGCCGAAAAGAGGGAAACAACAUUGCUUCAUCACUCUAGCCUGUCUUGUACUAGCUUUAGCAAAAAAGAGCAGAUCAUCCGCAAAACACAGGUGGGAGAUCUUAGGGCCAUUUCUAGAGAUAUUUCCUAAAAUAUGAGAAUUAUGAGAGAAUAUUUCUUUGUGGGUAUUUUCUAUGUAUUCUUCUCCUUGUAGGAGGUCAUAUUUAUAAUACAACGAAACCUGAAUGGGCAAGUAAAUAAUAAAUUCCUAAAUCUAUUUAGAGUAGGAAAUUAUGAAUUAAAGUAAAUCAAUUACAAUUAUAAUGGGAAUUCUUGGUGUGUAAGGAAAGUAAGUCAAUAGUCCAGAAGUCACGCCAACACUCCCCCUCACGUUGGUGCAUAGAUGUCGCCAAUGCCCAACUGAUCCAGUGAAUUGUGGAAUACUUUACUGAAAAUUGCCUUUGUCAAAAUAUCUGCCAAUUGAUCCUCGGAUAUUUUGACAAAGUGUCGAUCCACGAAAAGAAACUGAAACACUUUAGCCUCAAGCUUUUGUUUGAUAAAGUGUCGAUCCACCUGUGUUUUGGUGUGUAAGGAAAAUAAGUCAAUAGUCCACAAGUCACGCCAACAAUAUUGACAGCUCUCCACUCUUUCUUGACAACAGCCUCACUAAUCAUGUGAGAAAGUUUCUCAAGACACCAAAAACAAAUACGGUGACAGGGGAUCCCCCUCUGUCUCACUCCUCUUGCAGGAACAAAAGGCGGGGUAGCUUCACCAUUCACAAGAAUCUGGAACUAAACCGUGGAGACACAUUGCAUGAUCAAUUGGAUUGUAGACUUAUGAAGAUUGAUCUCUCUAAGAACAUACUCCAGAAAAUUUCAGUUCACUCUGUCAUAAGCUUUAAAGAUGUCAAUUUUCCAAGUGAUAAAACCUUUUUUCACUCAAAGAAAAAACAAACUUCCACUCUCUCUCUCUCUCUCUCUCUCUCUCUCUCUCUCUCUCUCUCUCUCUCUCUCUCUGUAUAUCAGGUUCUACAUUUCUCAGGAAGCUAUUAACUUGUUAUUAAAUGGUUCCUUGGGAUUGAUAUUCCAAAAUAGUUUAACAUCCUUUCCUGCCUUAGCAAUCAUAUUUCACACACUAAUGCAUGUUUUUCAGCGUGAUGUGGUAUUAGUUGAACUUCAAUAUUACAGAACUCUUGGUUCAUGCUCAUCACUGAACCUGAAACCUAGGAGUUUUUGUUUGGGAAUGUAACCAGGAAGAUCAAAAUAUACCAAACUUUUGCUCAUCAGGUAAAUAAAUUGUGUAGCUCUUAUUCUUGUUAUUAACUGUUAAAUUAAAAUCUCCACGUCAUCCUGUUUUUUUUUUUUUUUAACUGUUUGGUAACACCACUUUGCCAUCCAUAAACUAUAACUAUUCUUCUCCCUAAGGGAAUUUUACUAGGAAAUUAACCAUCUGGUAUGUAAAUCAUGUUUCAGAGUUCACAUUUAAACACAACCUUUAAACUUGGACAAUAAAUUAUAGGACCGUUGCCAAUGACCCGACGCCAUCUAUAACAAGUGUGGCUUGAACUGUUCUUGAAUUAGAAAGCAAAUUUAAAAAGCUCCAUUACUUAGCAUGUAAGUUAUGUUUCAGAGUUCAAUUGGAAAAAAUUAUGCUAUCGUUGGCAACUGUCCCUUGCCAUCUAUAACAAUCCAGGCUUGAACUUUUGUUGAAUUUAGGAAGCAAUUUAAUUAGCUUCACUACUCAAAAUGCAAAUUAUGUUUUUAAAUUUCAAAUUCAAACAUUAGGAAGCAAUUGAAUAAAUUAUGUGGCUGUUGCAACGGUCCCCUGCCAUAUUCGAUAUCUUCCAUUUUUAUCAUCUAUGACUUGAAAAGGCAUAACAGGGUAAUUAAGCUAACUCUAGUAUAAAUCUGCUCAAUUGUUCAAGUUAUCCAUCAUUGUGUGUUUGCUAAACCACAGCCUUAUUCAGUCGGGACAAUAAGAAAUAUGGCUGCAGCCCCUUCCCCAAGGAUGCUAAUCACUAAUAAGGGACCAUGUGUCCGCUACAUUGCUUGGACUCCACCCUUGAAUGGUUUCUGGAGGCUCAGCUUCACAGGUCAUUACAAGCACGAAUCAAAGACUGCUUCAGUCGGUUGCAUUAUGAGGGAUCACAAUGCUGUAUUUAAAGCUGCCUUUGAAUUAGGAGUGUGAGGCUCCGACAUGUCAACAUGUAUGGUAAUUUGGCUGCGAACUUGCUCGCGAGAAUUCCUUUGCAGCCUCAACAAGAGAGGUCUUGGUCCAGAACAAAUAAGUGGAAUUCUAGUGAGGGAUGUGAUCGGUCGUUGGAUACCUUUCUCAGACCUAUGAGUGAGUCAUCAUUUGGAUGACACAGAAGGACUUCGUAGACUUGUUUCUUCAAGGAAAAAUCUGUUAAGUUGCUUUUCCUUUUUGCUAAGUAGCAGUUUGCUUAGUAAUGAUUGUGAAAAGCCUUUGAUUUUUCUAAUCUCUUCCUUAAAGAAUUAAGAUGUGUGAACAUGUAACUACUAAGAACGAAAGUCAUCUGCUUAAUCUCACAUUUAAUUUUCCUUUUCUUCCUUCGUAGUUUACUUGUAUUCGCUGACCUUUCCGGUACUAACCAUGACCCCUAUCUGUCAAAACCAAGUUCAAAUAAGGGAGAAUUUUUAAGGGGAUAGAUUGAUGACUUUUGGGGGAGUUUUUUCUUAGUAAAACUUUUGUGGUUUUACUCAAUAACCAAGUUACUUUUUUUACUCGAUUUGGAUUUUUGCCUAUUUUGUCUAGAACCAAUUACGUUUGACAGGGAAACAAUUAUUAAAUAUUUCUUAGUCCAGUAGUACUUCUCUUCUCAAUAUUAAAAGAGAGUCGAAGUUUGAAUCCCUUCCCUAUAAACCAAAAAAAUGAUUAUUCCUGAAGCACUGACACUUUCUCAAGACUAAGCAUAUGAUAUGCGAAAUUACUUACUGACUAGGAUCUUGAUUUCUUAAGAACAAAAUGGAAAUUAAAAACCCAAAAAGCAAAAAAAAAAAAAAAAAAAAAAAAAAAAAAAAAAAAAAAAGAAGAAGAAAAAGUUAGCUGGGAGAUUAUCUGGGCGUUAAUAGAACCAAGCCAGUGGGCCAAAUCAAUCAUAUUAGAUUAUUUUGGGCCUGGGCCCGAUUAAAAAAGAUUUGGUCAGACACAUCACGUUUGUUUUUGGCCGUUGGACAUCAUAUUCAGAUGUUAUUAUAGUCAAAAGACUUUAAGAAAACACUAACACCCAAGCCAACGGUAACUUUCUUGUCUCUGUCUUCUCCUUCCCCUUUCUGUCUUCCCCUUUGCUGCUCCAAAUUCCAAUUAAAACCCCAAAACCAAACUUCACCAACACAAAAGUUCUUAGCUUUACAUCACAAAUGGCAUUAAAAGAAGCAGCUUCACUCACUUCACUGAAACAACAAGAACAAGAAGAAGAAGAAGAAAGAGAGAGGUUCAUAGUUUUGAGCAGCACUUGCAAAGUGGUGGAGUAUUUACAGCCAGUGAUGUCAAAAGAGCUUCUCUGCAAGUUUCCAGACAACUCUGCUUUCGAUUUUGACUACACUCAGAGUUCAAUAUGGUCCCCUUUGGUCCCUCGAGCUCAUGCUCCCAUGGAUUUGGACUUGGAUUUCGAUUUCAUGACGCCAAGGAAGCUCAAUUUCGAGAUGGGGUUGGAGUUGGAAAGUCAAAGCAGCAUCAAGAAAGUCAGUUCUAGUAUUAAGAAGAAGAUCUCCACCGCUGGAUUUAAUAUUAGCAGGAGUGCGUUGAAGAACAAGAAGAAGAAGAAGAAGAAGAAGAAGAGCAAGAUGGCAUUGGCUUCUGAUUUCUCUCCAACUCCUGUUAAGGUUCAUUGUAACCCCUUAGCCUCAAAGGUACUGCCUUUUUCAUCUGGGUUCUUAGAUCUUUCUUUUUUAUUUAUUUAUUUUAUAUACAUAUUUUUAUAAGCUGAAAGAAUCUGGGUUAGAGCACAAGGUUUAGAUCACUGAAUCUGAGAUUACCCUUUUGAGAUUUUCUCUGAAAAUGAUCUCAAUUUACAAGCUAUUUGAAGUAAAAAUAUGAAAUUUUUGGGGAAAGAGAUGAGAAUUUAAGGCAACCCAUAAAGAUGCAGUUGUUAGCAUCAAAGUUUUGGGAAUUUGUUUUCUGCUUUAGCGCCAAUUUCUCUGUUUUGCAGGGGAAGAACUUAGAACUAAAAUCAAUCUGGUGACUGGAUUUCUAACAUAUGAAGGUUCUGUCAUUUGUGUUCAGGUAUGGAAUAAGGUGCUAAAAGCUGCCUCUAAACAUUUCAAGAAAAAGAAGAGAGAUCCCAUGGACCAUGUGAGGCUCUCCAAUUAUCUGAGAGAUGGAAAUAUUUGAAGGCUUCCCCCAUUUGUAAUUCUUUUUUGUUUCAUUAAUUUAUUUAUUCAUUUAAUUGUCUUUUUAACCUGCAUUCUCAUUAACAGCAACAUUAUUAGCAUUUGGAGUUAAACAUUCCUCCAAAACAUUUAUGCCACUUAGAAAGAGAUUUAGUUAGAGCGGAUGUAUUUUGCACUUGGGUUUAAAUCCCUAAUUACAGAUUAGAUUAAAGUAGAACGUAAGAUUUACUCAAGCAAAGCAAACCACGCAUUCAUAAAAGUCUGCACUAAAAUUGUGACCCUGCACACAAAAUCAACUGCUUUAAUUAGAACUUGCCAACAUAACCUCAAUCAAGCUUUCAAAUGAAGCAGAUGAAGACCCCCCAUUACCAACAGCCCUCCUACACGCUCCACUCAUCUCCUGCACCUUCUUCCUCAGCUCAUCAUUACCGUCCAUCACACACCUCACAGCCCUCUCAAUCUCAUCAGCCACCACAAAAUGAUCUACACCGUCCUUUCUGUAGUUCAAUCUCAGCUCCACAGCCAGCCCCAAGUCCCUCACCAUCUGAAACGCAUUGAUCUGCUGCUCCGCAUACAGAGGCCAAGUCACAACAGGCACCCCAUGCCACAGGCUCUCCAUUAUUGAGUUCCAACCACAGUGUGACACGAAGCCCCCCACCGCCCUGUGGGCCAGGAUCUCCACCUGUGGGGCCCACCCACAUAAAAUCCCGACCCCACUGGUCCUCUCCAAGAACCCUUGAGGCAGAAACUCCUCGUGACUUGUGUGCUCCUCUAGCACCACAAACUUGCCCUUGGGCGGGUCUUUGCGCACGGACCACACGAACCUCUGCUUACUCUGCUCUAAGCCAAUAGCAAUCUCUCUCAGCUGGGCCUCAUCAAAGCUCCCAGAGCUCCCAAAGCAGAGGAACACCACUGAUCUUAAAGGCUGAUCGUCAAGCCACAUCAUGACUUUGUCAAAUUUGCUCUGAUGAUCAGAAUGCUGCGCAGGAUGCUCGCCUAUCAGGGGCCCAACUGUGUAAACAGGAGGGGUUUCACCAUCCGAAAGUGAGCCAACCGCAUGGGAUUCGAGCUGAAAAAUUGUGUUAACGAUUAUACCCUUCGUUUCCUUGAACCUCCUGGCAUGGUUUGCGAAGGAAAUGUACCCUUCGCUGCUGAAAGCAAAUGAAGGAAUUACGCUUGCAGGAACAGGGUUGACAUAACUCGGUACCACUGACUCGGAGUCCGAUUCUUUAAACACCGUGCCGACUCGGUCGUAGCGGCUCGAAAGGUGGAGCAGGAAGCCGAGAAAGCCAGCACCAGAAGUGAAGAACAGAAAUGAUGGAACCUUGAGUUCGUUGGCCACGUCGAUCAUGGUGGUGCAGAACAUAUCAACCACUAAACCAGAAACAGAGCAACUGGGCAAGACAUGGCUGGCUAUGGCUUCUCUCACAUGGUUCUUGUAGCCCUCUAUGUAGACUGUGAUGUAUUUUUCCACAGACUGUUGAAGAAACUCAAGUGGGCGGUUCACAGUGGGAAGGUCUAUGAUUUUGAUGUGGCCGUGGGAGACAGCAAGCGAUUGUGCGCUGGUGUUUGAGUUCAGAGUAGCAGAGGGUUCAAAUGGAGGUUUCAUGACCAGGAUUGUGAUUGAGAAUCGAUCACAGACAUCCAAUAAUCGUUUCGAAAACUCUAUUGCUGAUACAAGAUGGCCAACGGCCGGUGUGGGAACGAAAACCAGCUCUGCUCUCUUCAUGUUUUGUGCUGCUUUGUUUGCUCACUCUGUUGCUUUCUUGAUGGUGCAUGUUUGACAUAUAUUGAGAGCACUUGAGGUGGAUGAAGGAUGAUUGACGUCUUUCAAUUUUAUGUGGUGUAGGCCAACUCUGAGAAUAUAAAAAAAUUCCUUGUCAAAAAACAGAAGAGAGAGAGAGAGAAAUUCCCAAUGAUAAUGAGGCAUGUAAUGUGGGCUCACCGAAUCUAAGAUGAUUGUUUAAUGAAGGGAUCCGAGGUGGAUAAUGAGGCAAUCGGUCAAACUAAUCAAUUGCAUUCAUCAAUGAUAAUGAGGCAUGUAAUGUUGUCAAACUAAUAACAUUCUUCCUACUUAUCCACCACGGUGUCUUGUUAAUUAGAUGAUUGGUUUGGUUGUGUGGUGUUGUUUAAUUUAAGUCAUCGCAUUCAUCAAGCACAAGUAGUCACGAGAUUGAUUCGUGGUCCAUAAAACGCAGCCACCACCAAAGGAUGUGAUUGAUGACAUUAAUGUGAUUUGCUCAUAGUUUAUAAAACGGACUGUGCUUUUCAAUUUUUAAAAAAAUCACUUAUAAUCUCAAAAAAACAAUAAUAAAGUAGGCAUUUUGAACGAAAAUACCGCAAAAUUGCAUUUACCGAUCGCAUUUUAACCUCAUAAUUGACAUCGUCAAAACCCACCACAAAAUUAAAUAUUAUAUUUAAAAUAUAUAAUAUACAAUUCAAGAAUUAAAAAAAAUAAAAAAGAUAGCCAUUUGUUGGGCAUGCCAACACUCAUGCAUUGCUUAUGCGCCAAACCAAAGCCUGUUUUUUUCUUUAUUUUUUUAUUUUUUAUUUUUUACUUCUUUUUCUUCUCCCUCUCUCUAUUUUUUUCGAUCUCUCUUUUCUUUCUUUUUCCUUCUCCUCUUCUUUUCUCUUUCUAUUUUUCCUACUUCUUCCUCUCUCCGUCGCUUUCCAUCUCUCAUCUCUAACUUCUUCUCUACCUCUAUCUUUCUUUCUUUCUUCCUCUUUCUUCCUCUCUAUGUCUGUUUCCAUCUCUUCUCUCCCUCUUUCUUUUUUUUUAGGCCUAGUUAGGGUGGUGGAUUUUCUGGGAUUGCUUGGAUUGUUUAGGCCCAAAACAACACAAUCGGUGGAUACCGUUGUGGACAUUGACCGAUUUGCGAUUCCACCGAGUUGCGAUUAACCUCAACUCUUUGGCUGGUUUGCGAUCUCAAAUAAUGCAAUACCGCGAUUUCUCGGGCGGUUUGCGAUUUACAUGAAAUUUUGAGGUUACAGUACCACAUCCACCCCUAAGUUAGUUUUGGGGGAGAGAAAGAGAGAUCGAGAGAGAUCAUCUUCUUCUUUGGUCCAAGCUACUUUUUCUCAGCAAGGAGAUCUUCCCAUUUAAUUAAAAACUAAAUCUUUUUAUGAAAAAAAGUAGAAGAAAAAGUAGAAGAAGUAGCUACUAAAGGUGUUGUUCUUCUAGUUGUUUAUAUUCUUUGUUAUGUUGUGGAAAUUAGAAGGAAGAAGGAUAAAGGAGCGGAGAGCGACUGGGGAAGUCGCUUGGGCUGGUGUUGCUAGGGAGAGUUGGAUCUGAGUAGGGUUUUUUUUUUUUGUUUUUUGUUUUGUUUUUUUAUAUUUUUUUUAUAUAUAAUUUUAUUUUUAAAGCAUAGAGAAGAAAGAUUUUUUAUUAUUAAUUUUUCCAAUAUAUAUAUAUAAUUAAACAAGUAAUUACAUUAUUUUAUUAUAUAUUUAAUUCAGUUUAAACAAAAAAAAAAGGGUCAUUCACAUGACACAUCAUCACUUGUUGUAAAAAGAUUAAAAUACCCAUGUCACGUCAUCAAAAUUAACAGAGUUAUAAUAGAG
rnacentral:lncRNA from 1 species